rnacentral:rRNA from 1 species
GACGAACGCUGGCGGCGUGCUUAACACAAGCAAGUCGAACGAAGAGCGAUGGAAGCUUGCUUCUAUCAAUCUUAGUGGCGAACGGGUGAGUAACGCGUAAUCAACCUGCCCUUCAGAGGGGGACAACAGUUGGAAACGACUGCUAAUACCGCAUACGAUCUAAUCUCGGCAUCGAGGAUAGAUGAAAGGUGGCCUCUACAUGUAAGCUAUCACUGAAGGAGGGGAUUGCGUCUGAUUAGCUAGUUGGAGGGGUAACGGCCCACCAAGGCGAUGAUCAGUAGCCGGUCUGAGAGGAUGAACGGCCACAUUGGGACUGAGACACGGCCCAGACUCCUACGGGAGGCAGCAGUGGGGAAUCUUCCGCAAUGGACGAAAGUCUGACGGAGCAACGCCGCGUGAGUGAUGACGGCCUUCGGGUUGUAAAGCUCUGUUAAUCGGGACGAAAGGCCUUCUUGCGAACAGUUAGAAGGAUUGACGGUACCGGAAGAGAAAGCCACGGCUAACUACGUG